CAAAAACAAUAUACAAAAAUGGAAGCUGCAACUGUUUGCAGUUAAUUACUAUUGUGAAAAAAAUACUACUUUAUAGUGAAGUUUUACCUAUUUAAAGCCAUUAGAAAACUAAAAGUGAAUCUCUAAACCCGCAUCGCAAGCCAUAUCCCUUUUACCAAUAACAGUAUGACUCUAAUUUUAUGGCCCCGGAACCGCUCAGUCCCGGAAGGGAACUGGCAUAGACCCCUAGCUACUGCUGUAGACAUGGCAGCCGUCUAGGGUGGGCGCAGAUUGCAGAAGGCCUCUUUUUGCUCAGGGUCUUUGGUGCGGGAAGGCUAUCGGAAGCGUGAAUAUAGGUGCUUGGUCGAUAAGAUGGUCGGUUAGUCG